CUAGCGUAAAAUAUUACUGCUGCGGUUAAAAAGCUCGUAGUUGAAUCUAGUCGUGUCCGUUGGGUUUGUCGUUGGCGUUUAUUCGUCUCUGGCGUUAAUUCACGGCCGAUUUUUGCUGGUUUGCUGUUGGUCUUCGGAUCUUCGGUGGCUAGCGAGUUACUUUGAUCAAAUCAGAGUGCUCAAAACAGGCGAAAGCUUGUAUGAUUUCUCGAGGAAUAACAGAAGAGGACUUCGGUUCUAUUUGUUGGUUCCAGAAUCGUUUAAUGGUUAAGAGGGACAAUUCGGGGGCAAACGUAUCCUCGCGCGAGGGGUGAAAUCCGUAGACCGUGAGGAGACGACCAAUAG
rnacentral:rRNA from 1 species